AGGCAUUCAAUCACGUUAUCCAGGACCAGAUUUCCUUCAGCCUGUAAUCUCUGCCAUGCACAGCAGAUAAAUAAGGCUGAAGAGACACCAGCAUUUGGUUGAAGAUGGGGAUCAAUUUGGGCGUGGCAUCUGCGAUGCACAAAAACUGACCAGAAGAUGAAGUAAGACCCAUUAUCCCCAAACUGACUCCAAAUUCUCUGGAAGGUCCAAUAACUUAAGGAAACCUGAGAAGAGGAAUUGAAUUUAUAGCAGAACAUGGGAAGGUGGGGCAAGAUUAUUUCUGAAGGAACGUCCAUCGCAUGAGAGCAUUUUUAAGGAAAAGAAAUAUUUGAGUUCAUCACUAAAUUCCUGUUUCGAAAAUGAGAUUCUGAGAGAGAGAAAGUACAAGCAGGAUGGGCAGCAGAGGGAGAGGGAAAGGGGGCUGAGCAGGGAGCCCCCACACUCAACCAAUUGAGCCCACCAGGCUCCCCAGAGGACUUCUGAUUUCUGAACGUGAGUUAAUUCUACUUCUCCUUAAGUAAGAGAACACAUUUAAAUGAUUGAUGAUUGGAAUUUUGCUUCUCUGACCAUGUCUUGGGAAUCUGUGAAAGGCUGAUCUCAGUUCGGAUGAACCGUUUUGGAAGCUGGCUCUGUUUCCCUGGGCGGGAGCUGCAGGCGCAGGGAGCCAGGAUGGUGGGUCUGAGACCUUGCAGACGUGCUGGAGUGACUGCGGUUGCUGAAACCCCUGUUGCGAUGACGGCCUGCAUAGUGUUCUUACUCUCUUCAACCCACCUCUGACGAAAACUUGG